CCUAAUCCAUCUCUUUCUCUUCUCAGUCGUUCUCUCAUCUUUCUCAGCCUAUCUCUCUAUCACACAUUCUCUCCAUCGUGGUCCCUCUCUCACUCACUCACUCACUCACGCCAGCGAACAACACGAAUAACGGGGGCUCGUGGUCUUGGGCAAACAAUGGGGGCUCGGGGGUCUUGGAGGCUCGGUCUCUCUCUCUCUCUCUCUUUCUCUCUAUCUCCGUUGUUUAAGGUCAGGGGGCUCGGGGGUCCUGGGAAAAAGACUUAGGGCUCGGGGUCUUGGGCAAACAACGGGCGCUCGUGUUCUGUUUGGGGUUUUUUUCGCAUGUGGCAUAUGCUUUAAAUUUGCUCCAUUUUUUAAUCUGAUAUGCUCUCUUUUUUUAUAAUCUUCUCCGUUGUUUUUUUUUUUUUGUUCUUUGAUAAUGUAAUAUGAUUUUGGAGUAACUAGGUGGUUAUAAUUGCAUAUCUUGUGGUCUGAAUUUGUUGCAGCUGGCGGUGCUACUGAUAUGAUUUUAGCAAUUUUUAAUAAAAAAAUAUUUGGGAUUUUGCAGGUGGCACUGUUGCUACAAUGGCUUGGGACAUCAACUGCAAUUCAUUACAGAACUGUGGUUGUUUUACUUUAUCAUUCAAUUUCUUAUUAUUUCAAGGGGAAUUGAACAUAAUUUCCCGUCACUCAAAAAGGCUAUUGGCAAGUUAACUCUUUACUCAGUCAUCCUUUUUGUUCCAUCUUGUUGGUAGUUUGAUUGUAGAAGGAAUUUGAGAAAUGAGUUGUUUGCUCGUAAUUUAGCUUCAUAGACUAAUAAUUGUAAUUAUGUAACUCUACUAAAUGGUUACCCAAAUCUCAUGUAUUUUGAUACCAUUUUAUUGAAGUUGCUCUACGUUUCAAUAAAGAAAAAUAUAAAGAUUA